rnacentral:rRNA from 1 species
CCCUUAGAUGUUCUGGGCUGCACGCGCGCGACAAUGACGUUUGCAACGAGAUUGCGAGGCCGUCAGGUCGAGCUGAUCUUGCAAGCUGCGUCGUGAUAGGGACAGUCGAUUGCAAUUAUUCGACUCGAACGAGGAAUUCCUUGUAAUCGCGCAUCAUCAGUGCGCGCUGAAUACGUCCCUGCCCUUUGUACACACCGCCCGUCGCUCCUACUGAUUGAGUGUCUCGGUGAAUUAUUUGAUCUUCUGUCGAUUCAGUUCACUGAUCCGACGGUGGAAAGUUGAAUGAACUUCGUCACUUAGAGGAAGGAGAAGUCGUAACA